GUUUACUUACGGCUCAGAAAGCCAGUGCGGGCCAGAAGCUGCCUCUAACAGGCACUGGUUGGAAAAGCAAAAGCCGAUAUCAUCUCCACUGUUGAGUUCAACCACACCGGAGAGCUGCUGGCCACAGGCGACAAGGGUGGCCGGGUUGUCAUUUUCCAGCGGGAGCCAGAGAGUAAAAAUGCGCCUCACAGCCAGGGCGAGUAUGAUGUCUACAGCACCUUCCAGAGCCACGAGCCGGAGUUCGAUUACCUCAAGAGUCUGGAGAUAGAGGAGAAAAUCAACAAGAUCAAGUGGCUUCCACAGCAGAAUGCAGCCCACUCCCUGCUGUCCACCAAUG